GUCGAGCGGAACGAUGGUAGCUUGCUACCAGGCGUCGAGCGGCGGACGGGUGAGUAAUGCUUAGGAAUCUGCCCAGUAGUGGGGGAUAGCCCGGGGAAACCCGGAUUAAUACCGCAUACGCCCUUUUGGGGAAAGCAGGGGAUCUUCGGACCUUGCGCUAUUGGAUGAGCCUAAGUCGGAUUAGCUAGUUGGUGGGGUAAAGGCUCACCAAGGCGACGAUCCGUAGCUGGUCUGAGAGGAUGAUCAGCCACAUCGGGACUGAGACACGGCCCGAACUCCUACGGGAGGCAGCAGUGGGGAAUAUUGGACAAUGGGGGCAACCCUGAUCCAGCCAUGCCGCGUGUGUGAAGAAGGCUUUCGGGUUGUAAAGCACUUUCAGUGAGGAGGAAGGCCUUAAGAUUAAUACUCUUAAGGAUUGACGUCACUCACAGAAGAAGCACCGGCUAACUCCGUGCCAGCAGCCGCGGUAAUACGGAGGGUGCAAGCGUUAAUCGGAAUUACUGGGCGUAAAGCGCGCGUAGGUGGUUGAGUAAGCGAGAUGUGAAAGCCCCGGGCUUAACCUGGGAACGGCAUUUCGAACUGCUCGACUAGAGUGUGGUAGAGGGUAGUGGAAUUUCCUGUGUAGCGGUGAAAUGCGUAGAUAUAGGAAGGAACACCAGUGGCGAAGGCGGCUACCUGGACCAACACUGACACUGAGGUGCGAAAGCGUGGGGGAGCAAACAGGAUUAGAUACCCUGGUAGUCCACGCCGUAAACGAUG
rnacentral:rRNA from 1 species